rnacentral:misc_RNA from 1 species
AAAGUCGUAACAAGGUCUCCGUUGGUGAACCAGCGGAGGGAUCAUUAUAGAAUCUGACCAUUUGUGUCAUGGCUCUGCUAACCCUGUGAACUUAUAUACACUUGUACGUUGCCUCGGUGGAACCUGCCUUUUCGGCAGGCCGCCGGCCGGCAUAUACGUAAACGCUCUGAAAAAGCUCCGCGCUCUAUCUGAAUAAGAAAACUUUAACGAGUAAAAACUUUUGGCAACGGAUCUCUUGGCUCUG